UACGGGGGGGGCAAGCGUUGUUCGGAAUUACUGGGCGUAAAGGGCUCGUAGGCGGCCAACUAAGUCAUACGUGAAAUCCCUCGGCUUAACCGGGGAACUGCGUCUGAUACUGGAUGGCUUGAGUUCGGGAGAGGGAUGCGGAAUUCCAGGUGUAGCGGUGAAAUGCGUAGAUAUCCGGAGGAACACCGGUGGCGAAGGCGGCAUCCUGGACCGAUACUGACGCUGAGGAGCGAAAGCCAGGGGAGCAAACGGG
rnacentral:rRNA from 1 species